GACGAACGCUGGCGGCGUGCUUAACACAUGCAAGUCGAACGAUGAAGCCGGAGCUUGCUCUGGUGAAUUAGUGGCGAACGGGUGAGUAACACGUGAGUAACCUGCCCUUGACUCUGGGAUAACUGCGGGAAACUGUAGCUAAUACCGGAUACGACCCUCGGAGGCAUCUCCUGGGGGUGGAAAGAAUUUCGGUCAAGGAUGGACUCGCGGCCUAUCAGCUAGUUGGUGAGGUAAAGGCUCACCAAGGCGACGACGGGUGGCCGGCCUGAGAGGGUGACCGGCCACACUGGGACUGAGACGCGGCCCAGACUCCUACGGGAGGCAGCAGUGGGGAAUAUUGCACAAUGGGCGCAAGCCUGAUGCAGCAACGCCGCGUGAGGGAUGACGGCCUUCGGGUUGUAAACCUCUUUUAGUAGGGAAGAAGCGAAAGUGACGGUACCUGCAGAAAAAGCACCGGCUAACUACGUGCCAGCCGCCGCUGUAA
rnacentral:rRNA from 1 species